rnacentral:rRNA from 1 species
AGGGGGUUAGCGUUGUUCGGAAUUACUGGGCGUAAAGCGCACGUAGGCGGAUCAGUCAGUCAGAGGUGAAAUCCCGGAGCUCAACUUCGGAACUGCCUUUGAUACUGCUGAUCUAGAGUCCGGGAGAGGUGCAUGGAAUUCCGAGUGUAGAGGUGAAAUUCGUAGAUAUUUGGAAGAACACCGGUGGCGAAGGCGGCUACCUGGUCCGAUACUGACGCUGAGGUGCGAAAGCGUGGGGAGCGAAC